GACGGAUGGGGCUAGCGUUGUUCGGAAUUACUGGGCGUAAAGGGCGCGUAGGCGGCCAUUUAAGUUAGACGUGAAAGCCCCGGGCUUAACCUAGGAACUGCGUUUAAUACUGGAUGGCUAGAGUAUGGUAGAGGAAAGCGGAAUUCCUAGUGUAGAGGUGAAAUUCGUAGAUAUUAGGAAGAACACCAGAGGCGAAGGCGGCUUUCUGGACCAUUACUGACGCUGAGGCGCGAAAGCGUGGGGAGCAAACAGG
rnacentral:rRNA from 1 species